GAGCUGCACCGCCCUCUCCAUCCCUCCAGGCGCCCUGUGGUUCGCUGAGUCUGCGCCUAGUCUGGCGCUCUUUGGGGUCUCCGGUUUCCUCCCAGUCGCGCAUCCAGUGGGGGCCUAAAAGCUCAAGAGUGUCACAGCUUCCCCUCCCGGGAUCUAAGGUCCUAACUAAGGGAAUCCCCUCACCUCUCCCCACUGGGGCGCAGUCUGACGUGCUCGCUGCUCAGAGCACGCACACAGCUACCGGUUAAUUUAAUUUCUUCUAUUUUUAAUGAAAUGAGUGUCCUCUGUCAGGGUCCACAUCUGUACUGGUGGAAUUAGGUUGAAGUCUUUCAUGGAACUACCCUCCGGGUUCUGCAGUCACAGGAGCCCCUGGCACUCGCCUUUCCCAGGGACAGAUGCUGAGCUCCACUUCAUCGGAAUGCUAAGUGUCCACAGCAUUGCUUUAAGGCUGCCGUCAGAAGUUGUGGCCCAGGUUAAAGUUGGAUCCUCCUACCUUAAGAAAUCCAGAGAAGGGGCUGGUGAGAUGGCUCAGCAGGCAUGGGGCCAAGUGGCUUAAGAGAGACGACCAUCACACAGAAGCCUAGAGCCAUAAUAAUGAUGGGUUUAGCUACUUCAUCUACCACACUUCCUGUUGACUCCUUUCUUCCUGUGCUCUGGUGCUGGAACUCUACUGGCCCAGUAGAGAGUCAAAGUCUUAGCUUGGAGAUGGCAGAGAUGAUGGACAUGAUGGAGAUGGAGAUGACAGAGAAAACAUACUUCAGCAUUGAUGAGUAUCUGCUGAAGGAAGGCAUGCUGGGGAGACUAAUGAAACCACUCAGAUGAUAUAAAGUCGCCUUGAAGAUGGAUCUCUGCGCAUUCUUAUGAGGAGACGAUCUUGACUGAGUUGACUGAAGUGGCAAGACCUGACCACUGGGGAUGACAUCAUCCCUUGGGAUGAGAACUAGGAUCUACAUAAAGAGGGAAGUGAGCUGCACUCAGAAAUCCAUGGCCCUCUGAACCCUAAGGAUGGAUGCCACAUGACCAGCUACUCUAAGCACUGGCUGCUCCAACUCCCCUGCCUUCGUGGACAAGACCCUUGCACUGUGAGCUGAAAUAACCCCCAUCUCCCUCGACUGCUUUUGUCAACUGCUUUUGUUUUAUCAAAGCAACAGGAAAAGAAAGUAGCAUGGCAUUCAAUUUAUCAGCAGUAAAUGUUACUGGUAAUUGUACUUUCUUUUUUCAUUUCUGGAUAUCAAGUCUAAGUACUCACUCAUUCUAAAUAAGCCAUCUUCUUCCAAGUUACCGUCCCUUGCCUGACAUUUUUAUGAAACAUUUCUAUGGCAUUUUCCCCCAUAGCCCAAUGUUUCUAUUUAAGGUUUUAUUUAAGUAUUUCCUUUAAGGUUCAACUUUCCCUCUACCAUUUUGGUUUUUUUUUUCCUCCAAAAUGGCCCUUUGUUUUCUUUUUUCACAUUCUUUUCUUCCUAUGCCCAGCUGUAUGCAAAUGAUACAAGCAUUCGUGUUUCUAUUUGAAUGUCUUAUCUGAGUUCCAAUGUCAAUAUGUCAAUAUCUGAAGGGCUGCAUUAUAUCCUUUGAACAUUUCAGUGAUAAGUCACAUGUGGUAUGCCCAAAAAAGAUCUCGUGUCACCCCCCCCCCCCACCUCCCUCAUCUAAUCUGCUUGUCUUUGGACUCCUUUCCAGUAAAUUAUAGCAUGAUACUUUCAUUAUUUUACUUUCAAGUGUUGCAUUUGUGUAAUUUCUCUUCUCUAUACGACCUGCAUCUAGCCAUGAUCUCUCUUUGUUACAUCUUCUCUCUUUUCCUCUUGUCUGUUCACCAUUUCAUCCCAAGCAAUUAGUUUUAGUAAAAUAUUGACAAGCCAAUGCUUUCAGACAAUUCUUAGGAAAACAGGAGAAAAAAGUAUUAUAAUCACAACACUUGGCAGACUGAGUCAGGAUGUUUAUCAGGAGUCCAAGGCCAGUGUAGGCUUCAGAGUGAGACUGUGUCCAAAGAUAAAAUAAGGAUCUAGAUAGAUGGCUCAGGGAGUAAGAAUACAGGUUUCUCUUAGAGAGGGUCUGUUAUGUCCCAGCAUGUUCAUGAUAGCUUGUAACCAUUCAUAAUUUCAGUGCUGGGAAGUGAUCCCAGGUUCUUCUGCGAGAUCAGCAAGUGAUCUUAACAACUGAGCAAACUACCCACACCCAUUGUUACCAUUUAUUUAUUUACCAAAUGAAGAAUUUAUAUCCUUUAGGUAUCUGUAUAAAAAAAUUCAAGAAUCUUAAUUGUAACUCCUAUGUCAUUACAGAGGUUUUCCUUUUUAUCCUCUUUUAAAGGAUACACUUAUUUUUAAUGUAUUGUACGUAUGAGUGCCUGCAUGUAUGUAUAUACACCAUAUGUCGGUCAGAUACCUGAGGAAGCCAGAAGAGCAUACCAGGUCCCCUGGAGCUGGAAUCACAAACAAUCCUGUUAGCAUGUAGGUGCUGAGAACCAAACCCAGGUUCUCUCAAAAGCAAUAAGCACUCUUACUGAAUGAAGAAUCUGUUUAGCCCCUGUUUGUCUUCUUAAGGGUCCCAUGGCAGUUGCCCUGUAUGCUUAUUUGUGACUACAUAUGCAAGGAACAUCACUACAACUAGAAUGCAUGCUUCAUCAAAAAGACCCUCCUGUAGAAUCUUGUGUUUGAAAGCUACAUCUGCUGUAAGACCAUUAGAGAAGAGAAGACUCACUUCAGUUCAAUGGUUUGUAUUCAGAAGUCCAGGAUUGAGAACUAAGUAAACAAUGGUGGCCCUUAAAGAGAUAGAGUGUUUUUCACAGUGCUGUAUAUUCCACCAUAGUCAUCUUGUAUUGCAUUAAUCAGAAUCAAGAAUUUAUGACUGAGAAGCACAUCAUUGCCAUAAUUGCAUUAACUGUAAAGACAAUUUUAGUGACAUGACACUGUCACAGACAAAGCAAACCCACAGAUAUAGUAUAGCAGAUUAUGAAGACUUAGAUUGGAGUCUGACUCUCUGGUAGUCUUUAGCUUAGGG